UCUCCAUCUACCUAGGCCUCUCACAAGCUGGAGUGCAAUGACGCGAUCUCAGCUCACCACAACCUCCACCUCCUGGGUUCAAGUGAUUCUCCUGCCUCAGCCUCCUGAGUAGCUGGAAUUACAGGAUAAAUUUCCAGAAAUGAAGUCAAAAGGACAACAUAUUUUAAGGGAUUGUCAUACAUUUGGACAAAUUGUUCUCCAGAAAGAUGGGUUCCAGUCGCACCUACAGUGUAUCUGGUACUGUACAACAGAGAACUGCAACCUCAGAGUGAGAAGACAGAGAAAUCACCUACCAUGCCUCACAGUGGGAAAAUAAAUUGGGGGAAGGAUCACAUCCUGA
rnacentral:lncRNA from 1 species